UGGGGAAUAUUGGACAAUGGGGGCAACCCUGAUCCAGCCAUGCCGCGUGUGUGAAGAAGGCCUUCGGGUUGUAAAGCACUUUCAGUGGUGAGGAAGGGUGUGCAGUUAAUACCUGCAUACAUUGACGUUAGCCACAGAAGAAGCACCGGCUAACUCCGUGCCAGCAGCCGCGGUAAUACGGAGGGUGCAAGCGUUAAUCGGAAUUACUGGGCGUAAAGCGCGCGUAGGUGGUUCAGUCAGUCAGAUGUGA
rnacentral:rRNA from 1 species